GCCGGAACGUUCCGGCACUGUAAUGCAGCCGAAGCCGGUUCAAAGCCCGGAUUGAGAAAUGCAGAGGACAGA
rnacentral:ribozyme from 1 species